GGAGAUGAAGUGAUCUUUGUCAUAAGUUGUCUUCAUUAAUAUGUAUGUUUGCUCUUUGACACUUGCUUAAAUGUACUUUUGGUCUGUAGGAGGGAUAGCAGCCACUGACUUUCAUCUCAGUUGACGUAGUCCUCUUCUUAAUUUAAUGUUUGUGAUCUCUUUACAUAAAUCCAGCGUGAAUGCAAGUUAUUUUCUUCCCCUCUGUUUUAAAACUUCCAGUGCAAGCAUUGUUACUUAUUCAAAAGGAUUUAUGCAGUCAACUUCAGAAGACCCUGACAUCUGUUCCUGCGUGGCAAGAAAUAGGGAGUAGUAAAUGAAUUGGUGAUAGCGCCUCUAAUGAGAGUCAACUGUGAAGCAAACUAUUCAUUAAAGGCUGACUUUGAAACUUUACCUUCUACAGUCGCUGCAGCUGUACCAAGGUGAGAAUGAUUUGGCAAGUUACUGCUGCCAGUUGGAAGAAACAAAUUGAAUCUGAAUAAGGUUCAGAUGUGAAUUAGAUAAAGUUUCUGUCUGAAAAACUGUUGGAUUUUAUUUUAUUUUUUUAAUUCCCAUAUGCAAGUAGUUGUUCAAACAUGCUAAAAAAGAAAUUCACAUCAUCUUUUUUGCAGCACAAUUGCACUUUAUUUAGUUUUUUAACAAGGGCAACACGGAGAGAAUUCAUAAAAAGCAGAAACAUGACAUUGUUAUGUAAUAGGAUGAAAGACAGCAAGAAUUCCUUUGCACUCUUUUUAGUCUUAUUAUAGUAGAAGAGAUGGGAGCUUUAAAAACAAAAGAGGCACGGAGCUUUAGGUCUGUGAUGUUUCUGUUCUUGACCCUGUUCUUUACCAAACACUACAGGUACUGUUAGGAGUCAUAAACUGGGAGAUGGAUUGCUUCUAUUAAUGCCAGUGUGGCAGUGGAUUUACUAUGAUUAUCUUAUUCCCAAUAAGGUGACAUGAUUCAUGUAUAUAGCAUAACACCAAGACAGCUUGAUCUUGGCUGCAACAGAGGGCUGAUGUCUAGAUAUUUUGUUGAGCUCUAUAUUACUGCUGGGAUUCAAAAUGGUCUAACUGGAGGC
ensembl:lncRNA